rnacentral:rRNA from 1 species
UACGAAGGGUGCAAGCGUUACUCGGAAUUACUGGGCGUAAAGCGUGCGUAGGUGGUUCGUUAAGUCUGUCGUGAAAGCCCCGGGCUCAACCUGGGAAUGGCGAUGGAUACUGGCGGGCUAGAGUGCGGUAGAGGAGAGUGGAAUUCCCGGCGUAGCAGUGAAAUGCGUAGAGAUCGGGAGGAACAUCAGUUGCGAAGGCGGCUCUCUGGACCAGCACUGACACUGAGGCACGAAAGCGUGGGGAGCAAACAGG